rnacentral:rRNA from 1 species
AUUGAACGCUGGCGGCAUGCCUAACACAUGCAAGUCGAACGGCAGCGCGGGCUUCGGCCUGGCGGCGAGUGGCGGACGGGUGAGGAAUACAUAGGAAUCUGCCCAGUCGUGGGGGAUAACCCGGGGAAACCCGGACUAAUACCGCAUACGACGGUGACGUGAAAGCAGGGGACCUUCGGGCCUUGCGCGAUUGGAUGAGCCUAUGUCGGAUUAGCUAGUUGGUGGGGUAAAGGCCUACCAAGGCGACGAUCGGUAGCUGGUCUGAGAGGAUGAUCAGCCACACUGGGACUGAGACACGGCCCAGACUCCUACGGGAGGCAGCAGUGGGGAAUAUUGGACAAUGGGCGCAAGCCUGAUCCAGCAAUGCCGCGUGGAUGAAGAAGGUCUUCGGAUUGUAAAGUCCUUUCGACGGGGACGAUGAUGACGGUACCCGUAGAAGAAGCCCCGGCUAACUUCGUG